GCCAGGAAGGGCCACUGGAGCGGGAGGUCUAGGGCUAGUCUCGGGGAAUAACAGUGCCUGGGUCACGCCUAUUUUACAAACGCGAGCCCAGUUAAGGUCUGCGUAAGAAUUCUCGGGGGUUCUGCCCUCCAGUUCUCAAGCCACCACUGUCUUCAGGAUCCUUCCCUCCUAUGGUGCCCGGAGAGGUGUGGCAAGCUGGUACAGCUACCUCUUCCCUUUCUGGAUCUGAGGUUUCCCAGGCCCCGCUCGAGGGGGCAGCAGCCAGCUGCCAUGUCCUGAGGACGCUCCAACAGCUCUACAGAGAGGCCCGUGCAGUGAGGCGCUGAGCCCUCCAGCCCCAGGCCGGGUCUUCAGAGACCUCUUCUCUGCAGGUCACCCUGAGCCCCACUCAGCUAAGCCACUGACACAUUGCUGAUCCUAGAAACUGAGAAGCCGUUAUUGUCAGCUACUUCAUUUUGGAGUGUUCUCUCUCUCUCUUUAAACACAAAAUAUAUAACUCCUAUAAGUAGCCUGGAGAGAAAACAAAAAGAGACGUUGCUUAACCAAGGUUUGAAUUAAAGUUGUCAGAUUUUC